rnacentral:rRNA from 1 species
CGAACGCUGGCGGCAGGCCUAAUACAUGCAAGUCGAACGGCUCUUCGGAGCAGUGGCGGACGGGUGAGUAACGCGUGGGAAUGUGCCCUUUGGUACGGAACAACACAGGGAAACUUGUGCUAAUACCGUAUGUGCCCUUCGGGGGAAAGAUUUAUCGCCAUUGGAGCAGCCCGCGUUGGAUUAGGUAGUUGGUGAGGUAAAGGCUCACCAAGCCUACGAUCCAUAGCUGGUCUGAGAGGAUGAUCAGCCACACUGGGACUGAGACACGGCCCAGACUCCUACGGGAGGCAGCAGUGGGGAAUUUUGGACAAUGGGGGCAACCCUGAUCCAGCCAUUCCGCGUGAGUGAAGAAGGCCUUCGGGUUGUAAAGCUCUUUUGUCCGGGAAGAUAAUGACUGUACCGGAAGAAUAAGCCCCGGCUAACUUCGUGCCAGCAGCCGCCGUAAAAC